ensembl:lncRNA
UAGUUAGUAUGCCAAAAUUACAUUCAAGUGAAAGGGUACCGUUUGUUUACAGUAUACUAAAAUGAACUAAUCGUAUAUAGUAUGUAGUAUACAGUAUGUUAGUAUGGGUAUCCAAACACAGCUGGUACUGUAGUGAAAUGUUAGCUAUAGCUGAAAAGACUGGUACCCGGACUAUAUAUUUAGAGAGUUGAGACAACUUUUGCAAUUUCAAAUAUGGUUUUAAUUCUAGACAUUCAGUUCCAUAGCAUUAUUUAAACAUUAUUGUAAACAUUCCUCUUGUAAUGUUAAAGUAACGGUCCAGUGUUUCCAGAUUUCUAUGAAAUAUGACCUAGAAUCACUUACAAUAUGAGUGAAAUAGUUUUCCUUCCAAAAAGUGGUAAUGUUAAAAAACAGCUUUUCUGUGUUGGAAUAGUGUGGGCGUGCCCCAACAGGUACCCCAACCUGUCAUUAAAAAUAUUAACGUGAGUAGAGGGCUGAUUGGCCAGCUCAUUCUCCUCAGGAGGAUGACCUCAUACUUUAUGAGGAAAUAGCAAGCAUUUUAGAAACUGUCUGUUUGAGAUACAAGUUUGUGUUUUUUCUCCAAUUUAUGCUUUGGCCACGUACAAGUACAGGAUGAGUCAACAACAUUAUUUGGGUAUGAGUAAACAGAAUAUGAACUUUAAAAAGUGAGAUGUUCACUGGACAGUUACUUUAAUGGGUCGCUAACAGGGUUGCCAUAUCAUUUUGAUUUGUCAUGUAAAUGCAUCCUAAUGCAGAAAUCUCAAUGUCCCAACUAAUUACAUAGCGAUGUUCCCCUUUCGUCUCAUUCUAGUACACUACAGCAUAGGAACACAGUUGUGAAAAACUGAACUCUGAUGCUGAGGCGCAUCGGUGCCAACAGGUUUUGAUCCUCUUGAGUUUAAUUAAAUGCUAAGUGCAUCUUAAUGAGCUUCUAGUAUGCUAUAAGCCCCCUCGUUAUAGGUGAAAUUACACUCCUAAAUCUCCAAUGAAAGGUGUUUGAGCUUAUCAGUAUUCAGUUACAGUAUGUAAUCAGCAUCAGGAGCAGCCAUGCAGGCACACUGUGAUGUAAUCAAUGUCCCUAUUUGAAAUCAAUGCUCUCUCAGAAUCAAUAAAGGUAUGUGCUUACUUUGACUGAUCAGAUUGUCUGGAUUCACGAUUUGGGCAGUUUAUAAAGCUGGAAUUCUAAUGCGUUAGUUC